rnacentral:rRNA from 1 species
UGCCAGCCGCCGCGGUAAUACGAAGGGGGCUAGCGUUGCUCGGAAUGACUGGGCGUAAAGGGCGCGUAGGCGGUUGACACAGUCAGGCGUGAAAUUCCUGGGCUUAACCUGGGGGCUGCGCUUGAUACAUGUUGACUUGAGUGUGGAAGAGGGUCGUGGAAUUCCCAGUGUAGAGGUGAAAUUCGUAGAUAUUGGGAAGAACACCGGUGGCGAAGGCGGCGACCUGGUCCAUUACUGACGCUGAGGCGCGAAAGCGUGGGGAGCAAACAGGAUUAGAUA